CCCUUAGAUGUUCUGGGCCGCACGCACGCUACACUGAUGCAUUCAACGAGUCUAAAACCUGCUCUGAUAGGGGUGGGUAAUCUUUUGAAUGUGCAUCGUGAUUGGGAUAGAUGAUUGCAAUUUUUCAUCUUCAACGAGGAAUGCCUAGUAAACGCAAGUCAUCAGCUUGCAUUGAUUACGUCCCUGCCCUUUGUACACACCGCCCGUCGCUCCUACCGAUUGAAUGAUCCGAUGAAUAUCAUGGAUUGAGGAUGCAAGUAGGUUCGCCUAUCUUCAUCUUCGAGAAGUGAAGUAAAUCUUAUCAUUUAGAGGAAGGAGAAGUCGUAACA
rnacentral:rRNA from 1 species